rnacentral:rRNA from 1 species
AGGAUCAUUACCGAGUGCGGGCCCUCGUGGCCCAACCUCCCCCCCUUGUCUCUAUACACCUGUUGCUUUGGCGGGCCCACCGGGGCCACCUGGUCGCCGGGGGACAUCUGUCCCCGGGCCCGCGCCCGCCGAAGCGCUCUGUGAACCCUGAUGAAGAUGGGCUGUCUGAGUACUAUGAAAAUUGUCAAAACUUUCAACAAUGGAUCUCUUGGUUCCGGCAUCGAUGAAGAACGCAGCGAAAUGCGAUAAGUAAUGUGAAUUGCAGAAUUCCGUGAAUCAUCGAAUCUUUGAACGCACAUUGCGCCCCCUGGCAUUCCGGGGGGCAUGCCUGUCCGAGCGUCAUUUCUGCCCUCAAGCACGGCUUGUGUGUUGGGUGCGGUCCCCCCGGGGACCUGCCCGAAAGGCAGCGGCGACGUCCGUCUGGUCCUCGAGCGUAUGGGGCUUUGUCACUCGCUCGGGAAGGACUGGCGGGGGUUGGUCACCACCAAAAUUUUACCACGGUUGACCUCGGAUCAGGUAGGA